rnacentral:rRNA from 1 species
UCGAGAAUUUUUCUCAAUGGGGGAAACCCUGAAGGAGCGACGCCGCGUGGGGGAUGAAUGGCUUCGGCCCGUAAACCCCUGUCAUUUGCGAUCAAACCUUACGGCCUAACACGUCGUAAGCUGAUAGUAGCGAAAGAGGAAGGGACGGCUAACUCCGUGCCAGCAGCCGCGGUAAUACGGAGGGUGCUAGCGUUGUUCGGAAUCACUGGGCGUAAAGCGCGCGUAGGCGGCUUAACAAGUCAGAGGUGAAAGCCUGGAGCUCAACUCCAGAACUGCCUUUGAAACUGUUAAGCUUGAGUGUCGGAGGGGAUAGCGGAAUUUCUAAUGUAGAGGUGAAAUUCGUAGAUAUUAGAAGGAACACCGGUGGCGAAGGCGGCUAUCUGGACGACAACUGACGCUGAGGCGCGAAAGCGUGGGGAUCAAACAGGAUUAGAUACCCCGGUAGUCCCUGAGCGGGCUGGCAAGGCGCAU